rnacentral:rRNA from 1 species
AUUGAACGCUGGCGGCAGGCCUAACACAUGCAAGUCGAACGAGUGGCGCACGGGUGAGUACUGUCUGGGAAACUGCCCGAUGGAGGGGGAUAACUCCUGGAAAAGGUCGCUAAUACCGCAUACCAUAUCAUGUGCCCCCAUGGGGUUAGCUAGUAGGUGGGGUAACGGCUCACCUAGGCGACGAUCCCUAUCUGGUCUGAGAGGAUGUCCAGCCACACUGGAACUGAGACACAGUCCAGACUCCUACGGGAGGCAGCAGUGGGGAAUAUUGCACAAUGGGCGCAAGCCUGAUGCAGCCAUGCCGCGUGUAUGAAGAAGGCCUUCGGGUUGUAAAGCACUUUCAGCGAGGAGGCGUUACUCGCAGAAGAAGCACCGGCUAACUCCGUGCCAGCAGCCGCGGUAAUAC